rnacentral:rRNA from 1 species
UAGGGAAUUUUCGUCAAUGGGCGCAAGCCUGAACGAGCGAUGCCGCGUGAGUGAAGAAGGCCUUCGGUCGUAAAGCUCUGUUGCGGGGGAAAAAAGGGCAGCAUCAGGAAAUGGGUGCUGACUGAUGGUGCCCCGCCAGAAAGUCACGGCUAACUACGUGCC